CCAAUCCAACCUUCCAAACCUUCAUUCCAUUCUACAGGGAGGCACAGCAAGGAUGAGAGCUAUGGUUAGGGUGAGCUUGUGACAAUGAUGAAUACAAGCACACAGUUUCAGAAACACAAGGACAGAAACGUGUUGCUCAGACCUGACUUAAACUGUGCUCUUUACACAAUCACUCAAUACCAGUGUGCAGGCCACAUGACAAGGCACUUCAUGAGAAAACCAUCAGCUGACAUGUCUAUAGAGACCAUUCUGUGCCAGAAACAGUUCCAGGUUUAGUGGAAUUCAGGGAACCCCUAGGAAGACAAGGCAGAAACCGUGAAAGAACAGAGGAAAUGGAGGCCAUCAAGACAACAACACCUCUAAAUCCACUGUGCAAAGCUCCUCAGAACUCACCUGGACUGAAGCAGCAAGCACAGGACCUGCACAGGAUAUUCAAAAUGAAGAGGCUAGGAUGCAAUUAUAAAAAUGAUAACCUGACCCAAGUUCCUGUCCUGACAAUGCUCUCCUGGGAAAGCUGGAAUAAAGACAUCCAAGCAUGGAGGAAUGUGUGAUGGAGAGAUGGGAAAAAUGAAACGCUGUGGAGAGAUGCAAGAGAAAGCAAAACUCAGGGAUCUGUGCACAGUGCAGAGAUGUAGCUAGAAACACAAAGCAGAGAGGAAGAGACAGGUGUGAGGAGAUCGUGGGGUCCUGAUCCUGGCUGUCACCAAGACAUUUUCUGGGUACAUUGUCCUGCUGCAGCUGAGGUAUGUGUUGAUGUCUCUGGUCUGAGUCACCACCAAAGCCCAAACUGAUACCUGUGGUCUGGGCUGCUGCUGGCGAUCUUGUGUUGAUAUGUAACCCUUUGUGAGGUGGCACGACUUAUUUAAAAUGAAGACAGUCGAUGUAACCUAAUCUAUUGCCAUUAUGUCUCCUCACAUCACCCAAG
rnacentral:lncRNA from 1 species